GGUAGAGGUGGUUGUCCGGCGAUG
rnacentral:siRNA from 1 species